rnacentral:rRNA from 1 species
CCUACGGGAGGCUGCAGUGAGGAAUAUUGGUCAAUGGGCGCGAGCCUGAACCAGCCAAGUCGCGUGAAGGAUGACUGCCCUACGGGUUGUAAACUUCUUUUAUAAAGGAAUAAAGUGAGGCACGUGUGCCUUUUUGUAUGUACUUUAUGAAUAAGGAUCGGCUAACUCCGUGCCAGCAGCCGCGGUAAUACGGAGGAUCCGAGCGUUAUCCGGAUUUAUUGGGUUUAAAGGGAGCGUAGGUGGGUUGUUAAGUUAGUGGUGAAAGCUUGCGGCUCAACCGUGAAAUUGCAAUUGAUACUGGCAGGCUUGAGUGCAGUUGAGGUAGGCGGAAUGCAUGGUGUAGCGGUGAAAUGCUUAGAUAUCACGCAGAACUCCGAUUGCGAAGGCAGCUUACUAAGCUGCCACUGACGUUGAUGCACGAAAGUGUGGGUAUCAAACAGGAUUAGAUACCCUUGUAGUC